AUGACGUCAAGUCCUCGAUGGCCUUUAUGCCCAGGGCUACACACGUGCUACAAUGGGCGGUACAAAGAGCAGCGAGCUCGCGAGAGUAAGCGAAAUCUCAAAAAGCCGUCCUCAGUUCGGAUUGGAGUCUGCAACUCGACUCCAUGAAGUUGGAAUCGCUAGUAAUCGCGGAUCAGCAUGCCGCGGUGAAUACGUUCCCGGGCCUU
rnacentral:rRNA from 1 species